GGGUGGCGGGGCGAUGUCGAGUGGUUUUUUUUUUUUUUUUUUUUUUUUAAAUUCCCGUAGAGCUAGGGGAGGUGUGCUUGGUGCUUCACGAGGAGAGUUACAUAGUGCUCUAAUUACACGGGUUUAGGGGACACCUUGGCGCCUCUCUAGAUCGAACGUCGCACCAGGAUAGCCCUGCAUUGACGGGCAGCAACCCGAAUCCUAUGGCGACUUCAGAAACGACAGCUCGUACGCGGCCACGCGGCCGUCGUCGCCAUGUCUAUACUCACUGAUGAUGGUUUCCUUUUUCUAUGUUCUGGUGGCUUUCGCGCGUGCAUUUCUAGAAGGGUCUCAUGCGCUUUUUGUACAGUACCUACCUGUCUGUGGGGAAGUAUCAAUCUCAGUAGCUCUCUUUCAUAAAUAAUAAGAGAUAGCUAAUGUAGUCCUUUCUCCUCCUCCUUCUCUGCAUAUUUCUCCGACCCGGAAGAGGAUCUUGGGCAAGACAUUGUCGGACCUCGGGAUGGAAUCGUAAUAAGAGAUAAUAGUGGUGGUGGUAAUAAUGAUGGAGAAAAAGUCACAUCAUCUGGGACUGACUACUUGUCGGUUAGUUAGUUAGUUAGC
rnacentral:sRNA from 1 species